UGUUCGAGUGAAAGGAGACCAUGUGAUUGGCAUAGUGACAGCUAAAUCUGGAGAUACAUUCAGAGCUGAUGUUGGAGGGAGUGAGCCAGCUUCUUUGUUUUACUUGGCGUUUGAAGGUGCAACUAAAAGAAACAGACCAUAUGUGUAGGUUGGAGAUCUCAUCUAUGGCCACUUUGUGGUUGCUAAUAAAGACAUGGAACUAGAGAUGGUGUGUAUUGACAGCUGAGGACGAGCCAAUGGAAUGGGUGUCAUUGGACAGGAUGGUCUGCUUUUUAAAGUGACUUUGGGCUUAGUUAGAAAGCUAUUAACUCCAGGUUGUGGAAUCAUACAGGAAGUGGGAAAACUUUAUUCCCUGGAGAUAGUAUUUGGAAUGAAUGGAAGAAUAUGGGUCAAAACAAAAACCAUCCAUCAAACUUUAAUUUUGGCAAACAUUUUGGAAGCUUGUGAACACAUGAUGUCAGAUCAAAGAAAACAAAUCUUCUCCAGACUGGCAGAAA
rnacentral:lncRNA from 1 species